rnacentral:lncRNA from 1 species
GAAGCAUCAAACAUAGCAACGGAAUUUGAUAAUAUCUUAUCGUACAAACAAAAUAUACUCAGCGGAGUAAUUACUGUAAUCUCCAAUGAACAUCAAAUGUCACUUUUUCUUUUCAGUCGAAACAGUCCUAGCUUCUACAGUCUAUGCUUAAUAAAUAUUUUAGGCAUAGUGAAAGAAGUGAAGUGCAGAUGCAUAAUUGAUCCUUCAGCGCCCCUGCAACAAAAAGAUCCUUACAGCCUUCCAGUUCCAUAAUUUACACCAUCAUCAGCAUCUUCUCCAACUGUCAUCAUAGGAGAAUUACGAAAAAUUAUGUAAGACCAUAGUAGAGCUGAUUGAGGAUAUGUAUAUGGUAAUUUAAAAUUCCAUAAAUUGACAACUACUUGUGGGUAACCCCAAAGAGAGGUAUAUUAUAACAACUAAAAAUUAAGCAUUAUCUAAUAUAGUUUACUUGCAAUUUUCUGAAGUUUAACCAUGUUCAGAACAUUGAUCCAGAAAUUAAGCAACAUGCUCCUAUUCCCCCAUGCAUCCAUAUGGUGACAUUGGUAUACACAAAUACCAUUAACUUUAAUCUACAGUACUUCGAGGAACUUAUGCAAGCAUUGCCUUUUGCCAUGCCACACAAACAAAAAAUGAUUUUUUUCUUCUAAAAAUAGCAUAUAAGCUAGUUGUAAAUGAUCAUCUUCAUCAUGCAUGAUUAAUAUUCAUAAUAACACUUUAGACAAAAACAAAUUGACAGAGGAAUUAUUAUAUUCACAUCACAAAAAUUAAUAUCUUGUCAACUUUCAGCAUUCUUAAACAUGUUGGAGAUGACAUGUAGUAUAAUCUUAUGAAAACAUGUUGAACUGAACUAAUGCAACAAUCCAUUUCUUGUUGUACAUUCAAUCCCAUAAAAAUAAAACCAGUGAACAUUAUAAUGCACAAAGUUUCAGACUAAGUGUAUAACAGAUAUAUGAUGAAUGUAGAAAAGGAUGACCACCUCAACCUUUUUCUAGUUUCUCUCUCUAGAAAUUAGAACGUGUGGGAGUACAAUUUAGCCUUGACAACACUAAACACUUGCUUGCUAGCUAAUGGUAAUAGAGUGUGAUUUUGAAAUCUGAACUUACUUUGUAGACAGAUCCAAAACCACAUUUUUCAAGCAAACUUUCACAUGAGAAAUUAUUAGUUGCAUCUUUUAUGUCAGAGAAAUCAUACGUUUAAAGUCCGAGUUGCCAUCUUCACCUCCAGAGAGUUAUUACAUUCUGUACUGCCAUGGACAACCUUCGCAUUCGCAGCUCUGAUCUUAUUCACCACGAGUAAGAACUCACCGCACUACUAGAAGAAAUGUUUUUCCAGGCGGUCAAAACACGUUUUCGUAGGCGGACAAACCUUCCGCAGGUACCUAAACGACUGUAAAAAUCCUUAAUUUUUUUAGAUGGACCAAAGCACCGCCUGCAAAAAUAAUUUUCGCAUGCAGCAGUUCAUUCUUUGCAGGCGCUACAUUCACCGCGCAACAAAAAAAUUUCCCGCCAGCCCACCCCACCCAUCCUAGGUUUCAAAUCAUAAAUCAACAUCAUCAACUUGCAAGCUAACAUCAAUCAACAUCAAUCAACAUGUAAACUUAAAAAAAACGCCGUUGUCGUCCAUCCGCCGGCCUCCAUAGGUGGCGCCGUCGUCGUCGUCGCGUCAGCGCCGUCAUCGCAGCAGUCGUCGUCGUACUCGCGUCGUCGCCGUCGUCGUCGUCGUCGUCGUCGUCGCGUCGUCGCCAUCGUCGUCGUCGUCGUCGGCGCCGUCAUCGUCGCGUCUCCUCUCCUCGUCGCCGCCUUCCCUCCCCUCCACUCCCCUCCCCUCCCCGAGACCGGCCAGCGGCGAGGAGAGCCGGCGGCGGAUUCGGCGCCCGAGGAGGCGAGGAGGGGGGAGCCGCCGCCGUCGUCGUUCGUCGGAGCCGCCGCCACUCAAGGAGGCGUCGUCGUCGUUCGUCGGCGUCCGGCGCCCGAGGAGGCGAGGAGGGGAGCCGGCGGCGGAUCCGGCGCCCGAGGAGGCGAGGAGGGGGGAGCCGCCGGCGCCGUCGUCGUUCGUCGGAGCCGCUGCCGCUCAAGGAGGCGUCGUCGUCAUUCGUCGGCGCUCGAGGAGGCGAGGAGCGGAGCCACCGCCGCUCGUCGGAGCCGUCGCCGCUGCUGUCCUGCCCUGCCGCCGCCGCUCGUCGGAGCUGUCGUCGGCCGUUCACCUCUGCUGCGCGCGAGGGAGAUAGAGGAUAGGGAGAGAGGAGAGGGGGAAAUGAGUGGUGGGGGGAGGGUGGAUGAGAAGAUAAGGAUGGGGGCU